AACGAACGUUGGCGGCGUGGAUUAGGCAUGCAAGUCGCGGGAAUGCCCGCAAGGGCGGAACCGGCGUAAGGGGCAGUAAGGCAUGGGCGACCUACCCGGGGGUCGGGGAUAGCCCGCCGAGAGGCGGGGUAAUACCCGAUGAUGUUUGACGACCAAAGGUCCGCCGCCCCCGGCGGGGCCCAUGUGGUAUCACCUAGUUGGUGGGGUGACGGCUCACCAAGGGGCAGACGCCUAGCGGGUGUGAGAGCACGACCCGCGCCACUGGCACUGAGACACUGGCCAGACACCUACGGGUGGCUGCAGUCGAGGAUCUUCGGCACUGGGGGCAACCCUGACCGAGCGACGCCGCGUGUGCGAUGAAGGCCUUCGGGUUGUAAAGCACUGUCGGGGGGGAGAAAGCCGCAAGGUUGAUCUAUCCCCGGAGGAAGCACGGGCUAAGUUCGUGCCAGCAGCCGCAGUAAAAC
rnacentral:rRNA from 1 species